rnacentral:rRNA from 1 species
ACGGGAGGCAGCAGUGGGGAAUAUUGCACAAUGGGGGAAACCCUGAUGCAGCAACGCCGCGUGAAGGAAGACGGUUUUCGGAUUGUAAACUUCUUUUCUUUGUGAAGAAACAAAUGACGGUAGCAAAGGAAUAAGCAUCGGCUAACUACGUGCCAGCAGCCGCGGUAAUACGUAGGAUGCAAGCGUUAUCCGGAUUUACUGGGUGUAAAGGGAGCGCAGGCGGGACUUCAAGUUGGAUGUGAAAUGUCAAGGCUUAACCAUGGCACUGCAUCCAAAACUGUAGUUCUUGAGUGGAGUAGAGGUAAGCGGAAUUCCGAGUGUAGCGGUGAAAUGCGUAGAUAUUCGGAGGAACACCAGUGGCGAAGGCGGCUUACUGGGCUCUAACUGACGCUGAGGCUCGAAAGUGUGGGGAGCAAACAGGAUUAGAUACCCUGGUA